UGAGGAAUAUUGGUCAAUGGACGAGAGUCUGAACCAGCCAAGUAGCGUGAAGGAUGACUGCCCUAUGGGUUGUAAACUUCUUUUAUACGGGAAUAAAGUGCAGUAUGUAUACUGUUUUGUAUGUACCGUAUGAAUAAGGAUCGGCUAACUCCGUGCCAGCAGCCGCGGUAAUACGGAGGAUCCGAGCGUUAUCCGGAUUUAUUGGGUUUAAAGGGAGCGUAGGCGGAUGCUUAAGUCAGUUGUGAAAGUUUGCGGCUCAACCGUAAAAUUGCAGUUGAUACUGGGUGUCUUGAGUACAGUAGAGGUAGGCGGAAUUCGUGGUGUAGCGGUGAAAUGCUUAGAUAUCACGAAGAACUCCGAUUGCGAAGGCAGCUCACUGGACUGCAACUGACACUGAUGCUCGAAAGUGUGGGUAUCAAACAGGAUUAGAUACC
rnacentral:rRNA from 1 species